rnacentral:snRNA from 1 species
CCACUUACCUGGCAGGGGAGAGACUGUGGUCACGAAGGGGGUUCUCCCAGAGUGAAGCUUCUUCAUGGCACUCUAGAGUUGCUGAUCCCUGUGAUUUCCUGCAUGUGGGAAACGGUGUUUGUGCUGGAAGAGGGCUGCGCUCCUUAC